AGAGCAGCUGGGAACCUGGGAUUGUUCUGGAGCUCACUGGAACUCGCAACCCUGUGUGAGGCCCUGUGCAGAGGUUCUAGCCAGAGAAAUACAUUCCUGGUCAGUGUGAUGGAAGAGGCUCAGACCAAUGACUCUUUUCAACUUGAACUUGAAGAUUUCAUUAGAAAGCAGAAAGCCAGAGGAUUACAUCCAAAUGUCUGCUUCAGAAAGAUGGCAGUGGACUCCGUUCACCAGAAGGGAGACAGUGUCAGUCUUGGAGCUCCAAUGCAGGCGCUACCAUUCUGGCUCAGAAACUACUCCAGACCUCCUUCCUAUAAAAGGCUGACAGUGGAAAACCAGGUACCUUACUGCAGACAAAGACUGGAAUCUCUAAAACACAGUCUGAAAAACCAGCCAGUCAGUCAAGACAGAAAGGAGAGGACAUGGCUCCAGGAGGAAGGAGGAGCCACCACUCGGGAGCCAGGGAUACCCAAGGGGAAGCUUGACAGAGUGAGGGGUUCACGCACAGAAGACAGCCUCAGCAGAAGGAAGGUCUCAGCAGAGCCAGUGGGAACACAGAAGUCUAAGAACAGAAAGGAGAACCACCAUACUGGGAGAGACUCCACCAAAGGCAGGCGCCGCUCCCACCAGAAGAAGAAGGGGCCGGAGGAGAGGGAUUUGUGGGAUGAAGCCAUCUUGGGCAGUCGCUACUGAUGUGGGUACAUUUUGGGUCCCCAAAGUCAAUGUGUCGAUUCUCUUGGUAAGGAUGGAUUAAAUGACCUCAAAGUAAUUAGACGCCAGGCCAGCUGCUGUGGUCCAUCUGCUCUGCUGGUGUAGAACUUGUGAGUCUGCACAGGGUUGCUCUUUUGGUACUGGCAGUGACAGACCCUUUAGUGGGCAAGGCCUUGGGGCUGUGCUGACAGACACAGGGACUUUCAGUCACAAGCCCGAGUGCCUGGAGCUUUAGAAGCCAGCCAGUCCAGCUAGAUCUAGGUGCUGAGGCUUGAGACUCUUCUGCUCUAGCUGUUCAUCAUCAGAGGCCCUAGCCCUUGGCUCAGAGCAGAAGCUAGCGGGAGGAGGUAGUAGCUGCCAGCUCCUGUAACAGGCCAGGGCUACGGGGAACUGGCGUAUUCAGACAGCUGGCAUCUCCCGGAAGCUCUUCCUGUGAGCAGGGCCUACUUGCCCUUCUACACGUUUUUGUGGCCUCCAGCACUUCUGCUCCCUAUUGUUUCUGCCCUUAGCCACUCUGGGAAUUUGAGCCACAUUCUUACCACCAUUGCUACUAUGGAAAAUGCAGCAACAAGAGCUGCUGUCACCUUUGCCAUAGCUAUCAUUCUGGCGAUGCUCCUGUCCUUUAUUCCGUCUUCUGGCUGCCACUCAGCCCCUCUCGUGAUGAUAAAGAUUAAAAGGAGACAAGAAAAGAAUUGCGAUCUGCACUAAUCGGGCUGUAUUUUUUUUUCUCCAAGCUGAGGAUUUAAUCCAGAGCCUUGGGCACGCUAGGCAAGAGCUCUCUCACUUAGCUACAUCUCACCCCCAGUCAUGAGCCACCUUCUGAUGGGCCAUCAAGGGAAGUGCCCUGCCACACCUAGUCCGGCUAAAAUUGACAGCAGGAUUACCCAACAUUCACCGAGGUUUACGAUAAGCAGAUGGACAUACGCUGUGUGAAGCAGUCUUGGUAAUAGUAGCUGGGCUUAAGGGUGUUCACGACCAUGCCCACCAAGAGAGGAUUGUCAUACGAUACAUUAGCCAGAUGCUAUUAAACAAGAAAAAUUAAAUGUCCAAACAUUUAGAAGCAAAGCAGAAGGCCUUGCUAUAAAAAUCUAUAAAAAUUAGAGUCUUGAAAAUAGGCAUUAAAUAAACACACAGAAGAACUCCAGAAAGACAUGGAGUAUCUGGUACAAGUGGGCUCAGGACACAAGAAUUUGAUGGGUAAAGGACAACAGUAAGGGGCAGACUAACCUUCAAGGGGCUAGUGAGAGGGUCUGGGGUAGAGAGGAGCUUGCCACCAAGCCUGGCUUAAACCUGAGUUUGAUCCCUGGGUCUCACACUGUAGAAGGAGGGAGCUAACGCCUGCAGUGUUAUUCUUUGUACAGAGUUUUGUUUUAUAUGAGACUUUUCCUGUUGCUAUUUGGCAAGAAACAGAGUGGAGGGAGUUAUCAUUCUGUUAAAUGUCCUGCCCAUGUAUCAAAUUAUCUCUUAAAACAGGAUCACUUGGCUCUUUAAACUCUUCCAGUAGAGGGUGGUAGAAGGUAAUUGGAGAGUCAGGAAAGGGGGACAUCCCCUUUCCCUGGUGCACCCUUUUCUUAGUUACAAAAAUAGGGAGGUACUAGGGAAAAGGUCCUACCUCUUGCCUAUCUAUGUGCCUCAGCAAAUGGCUUUGUUGGUGGAUUCUGUCUGCAGAGUGUAAAUCCUGAGUUAUGUCUCCGCAGCCCCACCCAUGGAGCCCAGCCCCAGGCAGGUCAAUAGCCACCUGCAGGUCACAGCCAGCCACCUGCUCAGUGCUCUGGAUCUGACAGUUGUGGCCUUUGAAUCUCAAGUACACAAAGUGCAGAUGUCUUCAUUAAAUGAACUGCAUCCCAGAGCAUGUACUGGUGGGCCUGGUGAAUGGCUCAGUGUGUGGAAGUGUGUGCCAAGCCUGACAACCUGCACUCAAUCCCUGGGUCCCUCAUGGUGGAAGGAGAGAGAACCUGUUUCCCCAAGCUCUCUGACCUGCACAUGCGGCAUGUACUCAUACUCUGCACCCCAACACACAAAGAUUUUUUUAAAACAUGCAUUCGUUUUAUCUUGGAUUUCAUCAAUAAAAAUGUUGUGUGUGACUGU
rnacentral:lncRNA from 1 species